rnacentral:rRNA from 1 species
AGGGGCAGCGGGGAGUAGCAAUACUUCGCCGGCGACCGGCGCACGGGUGAGUAACACGUGUGCAACCAACCCCGUACCGGGAGAUAACCCGCGGAAACGUGGACUAACAUCCCAUGACACCUUUUCCCCGCAUGGGGGAGAGUUUAAAACCCCGGUGGUACGGGACGGGCACGCGCGACAUUAGGUAGUUGGCGGGGUAAGGGCCCACCAAGCCGACGAUGUCUAGGGGUUCUGAGAGGAAGGUCCCCCACACUGGAACUGAGACACGGUCCAGACUCCUACGGGAGGCAGCAGUGAGGAAUAUUGGUCAAUGGGCGAGAGCCUGAACCAGCCAAGUCGCGUGAGGGAAGAAUGGUCUAUGGCCUGUAAACCUCUUUUGCCAGGGAAGAAUAAAAGGUACGUGUACCUUCUUGCCAGUACCUGACGAAUAAGCAUCGGCUAGCUCCGUGCCAGCAGCCGCGGUAAUACGGGGGAUGCGAGCGUUAUCCGGAUUUAUUGGGUUUAAAGGGCGCGUAGGCGGGACGUCAAGUCAGCGGUAAAAGACUGCAGCUAAACUGUAGCACGCCGUUGAAACUGGCGCCCUCGAGACGAGACGAGGGAGGCGGAACAAGUGAAGUAGCGGUGAAAUGCAUAGAUAUCACUUGGAACCCCGAUAGCGAAGGCAGCUUCCCAGGCUCGAUCUGACGCUGAUGCGCGAGAGCGUGGGUAGCGA